UCCGGCUUGACGCCGGCAGUCCCCCGAGAGUCCUCAGCUUUACCUGUUAGUAACACGGGGCAAGGGUUGCGCUCGUUGCGGGACUUAACCCAACAUCUCACGACACGAGCUGACGGCAGCCAUGCAGCACCUGUGCACGUGUCCCGAAGGAGGCCCCUGCUUUCACAGGGGUUUCACGUGCAUGUCAAACCCAGGUAAGGUUCUUCGCGUUGCUUCGAAUUAAACCACAUGCUCCACCGCUUGUGCGGGCCCCCGUCAAUUCCUUUGAGUUUCAGCCUUGCGGCCGUACUCCCCAGGCGGGGCACUUAAUGCGUUAGCUUCGACACCGAAUCCGUCUAUAGACCCGGCAUCUAGUGCCCAUCGUUUACAGCGUGGACUAC
rnacentral:misc_RNA from 1 species